CACGUAGGCACCAAGCGUUGUCCGGAUUUAUUGGGCGUAAAGAGCUCGUAGGCGGUUCAGUAAGUCGGGUGUGAAAACUUUGGGCUUAACCCAAAGCCUGCAUCCGAUACUGCUGUGACUUGAGUACGGUAGGGGAGCGGGGAAUUUCUAGUGUAGCGGUGAAAUGCGCAGAUAUUAGAAGGAACACCGGUGGCGAAGGCGCCGCUCUGGGCCGUAACUGACGCUGAGGAGCGAAAGCGUGGGUAGCAAACAGGAUUAGAAACCCGAGUAGUCC
rnacentral:rRNA from 1 species